CCGAUUCCAGAAAAUUCAAUCCUGAUUUUCUUUUUGUAGAUCUUUGCCCAAGAAUUAAACCUUGCAAAAAGAUACACAAAACAAAAGGAAAGAACACAAGUCAUUUGACUGGAGGAAAAAAAACAAAAAAAAUCAAAAGAUAUCUGUUAUUAAAAUGUAAAAUCAUCAGAACAAUAUUAUUUAAACAAGAGGAAACAAAUCAAAGAGGAAGGGCCAAACCCUUUCACGCUAAUUAAAAAAAUCCCCCUUUUUUCCUCUCCAAUCUUCCCUUCACUUUGUUUUGGAGCCGCCGCCACACACCUGCAAAGAAAAAACCCUAAACUCGCUUUCAAUGGCGACCGAUCCAACUCUGUUGCACCAACUCAGUCUCCUUCUCCAAUCAAAGAGGAGAGAUGCAAAGAGAAAGGGAAUGGAGAGAUGCAUAGAGAAAGGGAGGGGGGGAGGCACAGAGAGAGGGGGGGGAGAGAAUGAGAGAUGCAUAGAGAAGAAGGGGAGGGGCGGCUAGAGAAUG
rnacentral:lncRNA from 1 species